rnacentral:rRNA from 1 species
GGCGGACGGGUGAGUAAUGUCUGGGAAACUGCCCGAUGGCGGGGGAUAACUACUGGAAACGGUAGCUAAUACCGCAUAACGUCGCAAGACCAAAGAGGGGGACCUUCGGGCCUCUUGCCAUCGGAUGUGCCCAGAUGGGAUUAGCUAGUAGGUGGGGUAACGGCUCACCUAGGCGACGAUCCCUAGCUGGUCUGAGAGGAUGACCAGCCACACUGGAACUGAGACACGGUCCAG